ACUUUACAAUGCGGGAAACCGUGAUAAGGGGACACCGAGUGCCAGCAUCAUAUGCUGGCUGUCCGGAUGUGUAAAAUACAUCCGUUAGCAAGGGCCGGGCAAGACCGGUGCCAGCCGCCGCGGUAACACCGGCGGCCCGAGUGGUGAUCGUGAUUAUUGGGUCUAAAGGGUCCGUAGCCGGUUUGGUCAGUCCUCCGGGAAAUCUGAUAGCUCAACUAUUAGGCUUUCGGGGGAUACUGCCAGACUUGGAACCGGGAGAGGUAAGAGGUACUACAGGGGUAGGAGUGAAAUCUUGUAAUCCCUGUGGGACCACCUGUGGCGAAGGCGUCUUACCAGAACGGGUUCGACGGUGAGGGACGAAAGCUGGGGGCACGAACCGG
rnacentral:rRNA from 1 species